rnacentral:lncRNA from 1 species
AUGGAGCCCACAGCUAAAGGACGGACCGAGAAAAAUUUCAGCUACGUUGUCAGAGCCCCCAGCAGCGAUGGGUUUGAUGUCAUGAACGUUGAUGUGAAGAUCGACACGUCCUGGGUGUUCCAGGACGUAGAAGACAGCGGUGGGGAGCAGGAAGCCCGAAGCCCAGGCGCGGACCCAGGCACGCUCAGGAAGCAGCUGGAAUCCUCGGAGCAGAAGCUGCUGGCCGCCGUGGACAAGUACGUGAUGUCCGAGUCCGGGCUGAGGAGCAGAAUCCAGGAGCUGGAGCUGUCGGAGAGACAACUGCUGCACAAGGUGGACCAGCUGAGCGCUCGUGUGAAGCAGGAACAGAGCGCUGCUGUCCGGGCCCAGGAGAAGCUGCAAGCCCUGCAGGGGGAGCUUGCCAGCCAGGUCACUCUGAGCCGAAUCCAGGAUGAACCACUGUCCCUGCCCAGGGAGGACGCACCGGAUGCUCCCAAAAGGCAAGAGCCGCAGGCCACCCUCGGCUCCACCAGUGCCCCUGGACCGAGAGGCUCAGCAGGUAUGUGGGGUGCCUGUAGGGUCGCCCACUGAUGGGCCAGCUCCCCUAGGAUGUGCCAGUGUGUCCGGGGGUGGGGGGUCUACAGACAGGAAGCUGAAGCUCAGAGAGGUAGUGUCGCUUGCUUGAUGUCACACAGCCAGAAGAGGUGGGAUUAGAGUCUGCGAUGUCCAGGACAACAUCCUUGACUUGGGCUCAACCAGACAUUUAGGCUCAUUCCUUCAGCCUUCAGGAGGGGGCCGGCUAGGCGACGCUGGUGCCAGCACCGGGCAGCAGGGGUCUCAGGAGGAGGAGUCUUUGCAGAAGACCAUGGAAUGACUAUCCUAUCGCCAGCCGACCACUCGACAGCUCAGAUGUGAGAUAGGUGCAAGGUCUGGGAGCUGCUGGGCUAAGGAGCCCCUUGUCCCUAACUUGUCCCUAAUGGGGACCAAUGUCUCUGAUCACAGUCUCAGACUGGGCUUCUAAAUGCCCUGCUGCAAAGCCACUGCACUUGGGGAGCCUCAAAGCCACCAUGUCCCACUGUGGUUAUUUGCAGUCUUCCAGGCCAGAUGGGGUUACAGAUGAGGGGGUUAUUUAUACCCAGGGGUGCCACUGACCUGCACAGCUGCCGUCCCUUUCUAUCCUAUUUCUGGGGAGCAGAGCUGGCAAAUCAAUGGUCAAAUUUGUCCUCAGAGAAGAAGGAGGGGCCUGUCUGGUAGUGAAGCCGAGGCCGGCUCCUUUAUCUGCACGCCAGCCUUGUGGGGUUGGGAGCAGGGGAUUAUGACCCUGUGUGACCAUGAGGGUGCCCGGGUUGAUGGAAGUAUGAUGGGUUUUGUCACCUGCAUGAGCUUCAUGGUCAACCAACGUGGCUUCCAGGCCCAAUCUGCUGCUUGUCAGCAGACAGUCAUUCCCAUCUCCAAGCCUUGGUUUCCUUCCCUGGCAGU